rnacentral:pre_miRNA from 1 species
AAAGUACUCCCUCCUUCCCUAAAUUCUUGUCUUAGAUAUGUCUAGAUACGGAUGUAUCAAGUCACAUUUUAGUAUUAGAUACAUCCGUAUCUAGACAAAUCUAAGACAAGAAAUUUGGUACAGAGGGAGUAGUUG